rnacentral:rRNA from 1 species
AUUGAACGCUGGCGGCAUGCCUUACACAUGCAAGUCGAACGGCAGCACGGGAGCAAUCCUGGUGGCGAGUGGCGAACGGGUGAGUAAUAUAUCGGAACGUGCCCAGUCGUGGGGAUAACGUAGCGAAAGCUACGCUAAUACCGCAUACGAUCUAUGGAUGAAAGCGGGGGAUCGCAAGACCUCGCGCGAUUGGAGCGGCCGAUAUCAGAUUAGGUAGUUGGUGAGGUAAAGGCUCACCAAGCCGACGAUCUGUAGCUGGUCUGAGAGGACGACCAGCCACACUGGGACUGAGACACGGCCCAGACUCCUACGGGAGGCAGCAGUGGGAAUUUUGGACAAUGGGCGCAAGCCUGAUCCAGCAAUGCCGCGUGCAGGAUGAAGGCCUUCGGUUG